UACAGAGGGUGCUAGCGUUGUCCGGAUUUAUUGGGCGUAAAGAGCGUGUAGGCGGCCAAGCAGGUCAGCUGUGAAAACUCGAGGCUCAACCUCGAGACGCCGAUGGAAACCGUCUGGCUAGAGUCCGGAAGAGGAGAGUGGAAUUCCCGGUGUAGCGGUGAAAUGCGCAGAUAUCGGGAAGAACACCCGUGGCUAAGGCGGCUCUCUAGUACGGUACUGACGCUGAGACGCGAAAGCGUGGGGAGCGAACAGG
rnacentral:rRNA from 1 species